rnacentral:rRNA from 1 species
UACGGAGGGUGCAAGCGUUAUCCGGAUUCAUUGGGCGUAAAGGGCGCGUAGGUGGCGUGGUAAGUCGGGUGUGAAAUUUCGGAGCUUAACUCCGAAACUGCAUUCGAUACUGCUGUGCUUGAGGACAGGAGAGGAGACUGGAAUUUACGGUGUAGCAGUGAAAUGCGUAGAGAUCGUAAGGAAGACCAGUGGCGAAGGCGGGUCUCUGGACAGUUCCUGACACUGAGGCACGAAGGCCAGGGGAGCAAACGGG